rnacentral:rRNA from 1 species
CAGCCGCCGCGGGAAUACGUAGGGUGCGAGCGUUAAUCGGAAUUACUGGGCGUAAAGCGUGCGCAGGCGGUCUUGUAAGACAGGCGUGAAAUCCCCGGGCUCAACCUGGGAAUGGCGCUUGUGACUGCAAAGCUAGAGUGCGGCAGAGGGGGAUGGAAUUCCGCGUGUAGCAGUGAAAUGCGUAGAUAUGCGGAGGAACACCGAUGGCGAAGGCAAUCCCCUGGGCCUGCACUGACGCUCAUGCACGAAAGCGUGGGGAGCAAACAGGAUUAGAUACCCGCGUAGUCCCUGUCUCUUAUAC